rnacentral:rRNA from 1 species
UGCCAGCAGCCGCGGUAAUACGGAGGGUGCAAGCGUUAAUCGGAAUUACUGGGCGUAAAGCGCGCGUAGGCGGUCUGGUCAGUCGGAUGUGAAAGCCCCGGGCUUAACCUGGGAAUUGCAUUCGAUACUGCCAAACUAGAAUGUUGGAGAGGGAAGUGGAAUUUCCGGUGUAGCGGUGAAAUGCGUAGAUAUCGGAAGGAACACCAGUGGCGAAGGCGGCUUCCUGGCCAAACAUUGACGCUGAGGUGCGAAAGCGUGGGUAGCGAACAGGAUUAGAUA